ACAAGCCUCUACAGACAGACCCUGCCAUCGAGGCCACUGAGAAAUGUGACCCCUCCACCUUGUCUCUCUCGGGUGACCACUCAGCACCCGUUGCAGGCGAUAAAGUGCCAGAGCCGGGCGCUGGACGGUCACCCCGUCCCAAACGCAGCACCACGGCAUCAGCACGGAAUCGCAACAGCAUGCUGACAUCACUGUGCAUCCUGAGCCACUACCCGUUUUUCUCCACUUUUAGGGAGUGUCUGUACAUCCUCAAACGCAUGGUGGACUGCUGCAGCCACAGACUCAUCCAGAGGGCUGGCACUACCAAGUGUAACCAGCGGGAUGCCAUGUGGCGCGUGUUGGCUGGCGCUCUUUCUGUCGAGGAGAAGGAGAAAGGUACUCAGCUACUCCAUGACCUGAGGGAAGUGGAAUCGUGGGUGUACAGGCUGCUGCACUCUCCGGUGCCUAUGGCAGGCGUGCGACGUGUCGACGUAGAAGUGCUGCCUCCAGACCUGCAGCCGGCGCUUACUUUCGCUCUGCCCGACUCGUCCCGGUUCUGCCUCGUGGACUUCCCACUGCAUCUGCCCUUGGAGCUGCUGGGGGUGGACGCGUGCCUGCAGGUUCUCAGCUGCAUCCUGCUUGAACACAAGGUGGUACUUCAGUCUCGGGAUUACAACGCUCUCUCGAUGAGUGUGAUGGCUUUUGUGGCUAUGAUCUAUCCUUUGGAGUACAUGUUCCCGGUCAUCCCUUUACUGCCCACCUGCAUGGCUUCAGCCGAACAGCUCCUGUUAGCACCAACGCCAUACAUUAUCGGCGUGCCUGCCAGCUUCUUCCUGUAUAAAUCAGACUUUAAGAUGCCUGACGAUGUUUGGCUGGUGGAUCUGGAUUGUAACAAGGUCAUUGCUCCCAACAAUGCAGAAAUUCUCCCACCUUUGCCUGAGCCAGAAGUCACCGAGUUGAAAAAACACUUGAAGCAGUGUCUGGUUAGGUUGACUGUGAUCACCCAAAAGCAGAUCUUCGCCUCUGACACAAAGGCUCUGGCAAGUAUGAGUCUGAACACGCAGCCUAUUCUAAACCUGGAGAAGUUCCAGGAGGGUCAGGAUCUGCCUCUUCUGCCCCCAGGCCGUGAUAAGUCCUCGCCCUCUUCCACUGAGUUUAACCCGCUUAUUUAUGGAAAUGAUGUUGACUCUGUGGAUGUGGCCACAAGGGUGGCGAUGGUGAGAUUCUUCAACUCUCCAAACGUACUGCAGGGGUUUCAGAUGCACACUCGUACACUGCGACUCUUCCCGCGGCCUGUGGUAGCCUUCCAAGCCAUGUCUUUCCUGGCGUCGCGACCACGGCGCACCGGGUUUGCCGAGAAGCUCUCACACACACAGGCUGUGGAAUAUUAUGGGGAGUGGGCUUUAAACCCUACAAACCUGGCCUUCCAAAGGAUUCAUAACAAUGUGUAUGACCCCUCCCUGAUAGGUGAUAAGCCUAAGUGGUAUGCUCAUCAGUUGCAGCCUGUGUUUUACCGUGUGUACGAUGGAAAUUCGCAGCUUGCGGAGGCUAUAAGUGGGCCACUGGAGGAUGAGUGGAAUGAGUCGGACCCUACAGAUGACAGUGGAAGUGACAGUGAGGCAUAUGAUGAUUCCAGCUCUUCUUACUCCUCACUGGGAGAUUUUGUAAAUGAAAUGAUUAAAGGGGACAUCCAAGGUGACACACCAAACGUUGAUCCCUUGACUCACGCAGCCCUUGAGGAUGCUAGUGAAGUAGAAAUCCACGAAUUCCAGGAGUAUAAGGGUGAGAGUGAGGAGCGUGGGUCUGAGGUCGAGGGGUCUGCUGAGGCCAUAGAUGGGCAGCCUCACCGCUCCAGCUCCAGCACUACAGCCAGCUCCAGCCCCAGCACCAUCAUCCAGGGAGUGAAUCAAGAUCAAUCAGAGCCUGUUGAGAUUGAAGCAUCAGCCAGCGUGGCUCUGCAGAACUCUGUCCCCGGACUAUGUCUCCCACCAUUCACUGGAUCCAGCCCAGAGUCGGCGCCUACGGACUCGACCAGUAAGAAGCGAGAGUACGAUAACCCCUAUUUUGAGCCACAGUAUGGCUUCCCUGUGGAAGAAGAGGCUGAGAGUGAAGAGCAAGAGGAGAGCUACACACCACGCUUUCACCAGAAUAUCAAUGGAAACAAGCCAUCUCGCCCAUUAAGGCCCAGCAGUUUGAAGCUUCCAGGCGAGUGCGAUGGAGAAGACGACUCCAAAAACAGUUCUCCAAACUCCACCAUUUCCAACAACAGCGGCGACGGCUUCGGAGGACUUAUGUCUUUCGCAAGUAACUUAUAUAAGAACCACGGCACCAGCUUUAGUUUGUCCAGUCUGGCUCUUCCUAACAAAGCAGCCAGGGAGAAGAACACUCCUUUCCCAAGUCUUAAAGUAUUUGGGCUAAAUUCUCUAAUGGAGAUUAUAACAGAGGUCGGCCCGGGGAGCGGAGAAGGCUCCCGUGCUCCUCGAGCACUGGUCGAUCAAAAGUCGUCGGUGAUUAAACACAGUCCUACUGUAAAGAGAGAGCCGCCUUCACCUCAAGGCAGAGCCAACAACACCAGUGAAAAUCAGCAUUUCCUAAAGGACAUGGUGCUGAGCGUGUUGGAUGGCCAGGGGGUCGGUUGGCUCAACAUGAAGAAGGUGCGGCGUCUGCUGGAGAAUGAGCAGCUGCGCGUCUUCAUGCUCAGCAAGCUCAACCGCGCCGUCCAGUCAGAAGAGGACGCGCGGCAAGAAGUCAUCAGAGACGUGGAGAUUAGCAGAAAGGUUUAUAAAGGCAUGUUGGACCUGCUGAAAUGUACAGUUUCCAGUCUGGAGCACUCCUACACUAAUGCAGGCCUGGGUGGCAUGGCCAGUGUGUUCAGCCUGUUUGAAAUUGCACGAACCCACUACCAAACCAAAGAGCCAGAGAAGCGAAAGCGGAGUCCCAUGGAUGGGGCGAGCAGUCCGGGCAGUAAGGAGAGCCCGUCUGUUCGCAUUGAGAGCGCCAGAGCCGCAGGCGUUCUCCUGAUGCCCAGAAUUCAGCUGCCACCCCCUUCCUCCGGGAAAGGGUCACGCCAGUUUGACACCCGGAGUCUGAACGAAGAGAAUUUUAUUGCUUCUAUUGAAUUGUGGAGCAAGCACCAGGAUAACAGAAAGCAAAAUGCUAUGGAAAAACAACAGAGGGCAGACGGGGCAAAACAGCGUCCCGAAGGGGGCGACACAGAGGAAAAGAAAUCCCAGAUCAGCGCAGACAGCGGCCUCAGUGUGACCUCAGGCUCUCAGAAGAGUGAUACGGAGUCGCUGGCGAGUUCAGAGCCUCCGGUUUUGACGAGGAGUACCAGUCAGGACUCUGAGGCCAGCACAGUGGUGAGUAACAGUUCAGGUGAGACUCUGGGGGCUGACAGUGACCUGAGCAGCACAGCGGGAGAUGGACUCGGCGGGCGUCCCUCUCCUCACCUCGCGCUGUCUCGCUCUACUCUCUCAGACAGCGAGAUCGAGACCAAUCCUGCCACCAGCUCUAUGUUUGGAAAGACACACAAACUGAAGCCAGGUGUGAAGGAACCGGUUGUGGGUGUGGCUAAGGGAGCUCCUACCCCACCUCCUGAAGAUCUCAGCAUGAGAAUCUACCUGUGUGAAGGACUUCUGGGGAGGGAUAAGAGCUCAGUGUGGGAUCAGCUGGAGGAUGCUGCCAUGGAAACCUUCUCUCUGAGUAAAGAGCGCUCGACUCUCUGGGAUCAGAUGCAGUUUUGGGAGGACGCCUAUCUGGAUGCUGUAAUGCUUGAAAGAGAGGGAAUGGGUAUGGACCAGGGACCACAGGAGAUGAUUGACAGGUACCUGUCACUGGGUGAACAUGACCGUAAGAGACUGGAGGAUGAUGAGGACAGACUGCUGGCCAAUCUGUUGCACAACAUGAUCGCGUACAUGCUAAUGAUGAAGGUGAGUAAGAAUGACAUCCGGAAGAAGGUUCGCCGUUUGAUGGGGAAGUCUCACAUCGGGUUGACGUACAGCCAAGAGAUCAAUGAGAUCUUGGACCGUCUGACACACAUGAAUGGAAGGGAACUUCCCAUACGGCCGAGCGGAAGCCGCCAUAUAAAGAAGCAGACUUUUGUGGUGCAUGCUGGGACUGAUACCACAGGGGAUAUUUUCUUUAUGGAGGUGUGCGAUGACUGCAUCGUAUUACGCAGUAACAUUGGGACGGUGUAUGAGCGAUGGUGGUACGAGAAGCUGAUUAAUAUGACCUACUGUCCCAAGACCAAAGUGCUCUGUCUGUGGCGGAGGAACGGACUGGAGACCCAGCUUAACAAGUUCUACACGAAGAAGUGUCGGGAACUGUACUACUGCGUGAAAGACAGCAUGGAGCGUGCAGCCGCAAGACAGCAAAGCAUUAAACCAGGUCCAGAACUGGGAGGAGAGUUCCCCGUGCAAGAUAUGAAGUCCGGUGAGGGGGGUCUUCUUCAGGUCACGCUCGAGGGGAUUAAUCUCAAAUUCAUGCACAGCCAGGAGCGGAAGGUUUUCAUAGAGCUGAAUCACAUUAAAAAGUGCAAUACAGUGAAGGGAGUCUUUGUCCUGGAGGAAUUUGUUCCUGAAACUAAAGAAGUGGUGAUCCAUAAGUACAAAACUCCCAUGGCACAUCAGAUCUGUUACUCCGUGCUCUGUCUCUUCUCCUACGUGGCCGCAGUGAAGGGGAAGGAGGCAGAUAGCAAACCCAAGAUGCUGUCUCCUCGUCCAUUACCCAGCUAGUGCACACCUCUGUACUGCCUGCCGUAUUAUAUCCGGUCCAGAAACCUCCCUGUAAACGCUACACUGUACCACACUGUACACUUACUGUACAGGACGUCCACACACCUGCUUUCUUAUUCGCUCGCACACGGAUUCCUCACACUUAUCCACCUUAUGCUCAGUAUCUAAUUAGGCUUAAACAAGCUCAUAUAGCAAGUUUUACUAUUCUACCUUCUCCCUACAGUGUAUGUAUCAGAAUGGAACCAUAACCGCAUCUCCUGGAGAUCUUUCCUCAACUCUUAUUCGUCACUGUCCUCGUUUUAACGCUGCCGUCCCUUUCUCUUGCACGUGAGCAGAGGUGUCCACACUAUGCCAGCACUAAAUAUCAGCAAUCGGGAGUCUUCAUCUUGGAGGAAAUUCAGCCUACAUGUUAGAUCAACAAAUCAGGUCUGAUGGAUUGAGCGAGUUAGAACAAAGAGCAAACUGUGCCAAUCUGAGAUGUUUGGCACGCCGAUGCUGCAGUCAGUCGUUCGAGGUGUUUUGAUCGGCACGCACGCUUCAAGAACAGAAGAACAUUUCUGGAAGGCGACGAGAGAUCAGAAAGACCUUCCGCGAGCUCAACCCCAGAACAUGUUGAAACCAUUUGACAGCUUGUGCAUGAUCUUUUUAGAACAAUCCACAUGAUCUCACUUCAGCCACCACCCUACUCACCAGAUUCAAGCUAAUGCAAACUUCUCCCGCUUCCCGAAGAAGAUCCAGCUCAAAGGUUGCUGUUUGUACACCAUUGCGGAGAUCCAGCGCGAAUCACAGGAAGUAGCUUGACAUGCUUCGGAAAGAAGCCUUCCAGGACACAUUCCAGAAGUUGCAGGAACUCUGGGAGGGCUGUACUGCUGUGCAAGGGGACUAUUUUGAAGUGUCGUAUUUUGUGUAGCACCAUUGAUAUUUAGAACUGCUUUAAUCCUUCUGGGCUUGGAAUUCACCAGAGCGCCAAAGGUUGUUCCUGGAAUCCUCUUCCACUCCUCCAAAAUGACAUCAUAGAGCUGCUUCUCCACCUUCCGCUUGAGAAUGCCCCACAAGUGCUCAAUAGGGUUCAGGGCUGGAGACAUACUUGGCCACUCCAUCACCUUUAACUUCCUCAGCAAGGCAUUUGUCAUCUUUUCAUAUAUUGGGGAAACUGCUGUUUGACACAGUUUCUGAAGGAAAGGCAUCAUGUUCUGCUUCAGAAUGUCAGUCCAUAUUGAAAUCCAUGUUUCUCUAAAUAAACUGCAGCUCCCCAGUACCAGCAGCACUCAUUCAGCCCCAGACCAUGAUGCUACCACCACCAUGUUUGACUGUAGGCAAGACACAAUUUUCUUGGUGCUCCUCACCAGGGCCACACAUCCUGGACACCAUCUCUUCUGAGCCAGCUUCAGAAGAGUCUUCCUCCUGGGAUGACGGCCAUGCAAACCCGACUUGUUGCAGUUUGCGGCGUAUGGUCUGAGCGCUAAUGACCACAGAAUGAGGACUCUACUUCUUUGAUAGACCCUUGCGAGGUCUGUUCUGUGUGGAACCCAUUUUGAAAAACCUCUGUAUGACCCUGGCCACUGUACUGGAACUCUGUAUCGGCCAUCUUUGUGUAGAGCAACAAUUCUAAUUCUCAAAUCCUAAAAGUCUUUACCAUGAGGUUCCAUGUUGAACAUUCAGUGGUCAGUAUGAGAGAAAUGUACUCAAAGCACCACAUUUUAACUGCUCUAAUACAAGAUACACACAUUUCUAUGAUCUCGUCAAGCAGACAAAAACAAGAACAUGAUUAAUAGAACGUGUGGCUUUGCACAGUUACAUGACAUACAGCUGUUAUUACUGAGGGUGUACUCACUUUUGUUGCCAGUUAUUUUGACAAUAAUGGCUGUAUGUUAUUUUCAGAGGACAGUAAAUCUGUACUGCUACA